GACGUAGGAGGCGAGCGUUAUCCGGAUUCACUGGGCGUAAAGCGCGUGUAGGCGGCUCGUCAAGUCGGUUGUGAAAGCCCCUGGCUCAACUGGGGGAGGUCAGCCGAGACUGUCGGGCUGGAGGCUCAGAGAGGAAGGUGGAAUUCCCGGUGUAGCGGUGGAAUGCGUAGAGAUCGGGAGGAACACCAGUGGCGAAGGCGGCCUUCUGGCUGAGGCCUGACGCUGAGACGCGAAAGCGUGGGUAGCAAACGGG
rnacentral:rRNA from 1 species